GACGAACGCUGGCGGCGUGCCUAAUACAUGCAAGUAGGACGCAGUUGCGAACGGGUGAGUAACGCGUAUGUAACUGCCUAUUAGAGGGGGCUAACUAUUGGAAACGAUAGCUAAUACCGCCUCCUAGUAGAUUGACCUGCGUUGUAUUAGCUAGUAGGUAGGGUAAUGGCCUACCUAGGCGACGAUACAUAGUCGAACUGAGAGGGUGAUAGGCCACACUGGGACUGUGACACGGCCAAGACUCCUACGGGAGGCAGCAGUGGUGAAUAGUGCACAAUGGGCGCAAGCCUGAUGCAGCCAUGCCGCGUGUAUGAAGAAGGCCUUCGGGUUGUAAAGUACUUUCAGCGGGGAGGCGUUACGCGCAGAAGAAGCACCGGCGAACUCCGUGCCAGAAGCCGCGGUAAUUC
rnacentral:rRNA from 1 species